rnacentral:snoRNA from 1 species
AAGCAAUGAUGAUAUUUGCGCUUCUUAUGGCAGUUGGGUCCGCCAUUUCUGUCUGAUCCUUCGGACGAAGCAAAGCGCAUAUGAGCUU